rnacentral:lncRNA from 1 species
UGAAAGGUAUUCUGGUUUUGGAUAAUUUUCCCCGCCACUCUAUUCAUAAUCAUCAGUCACCACCACUAACCACCUCUGCCACUACCACCAUUGUCAACCACCGCCCACCACCACCAACCACCUCCACCAUCACAACCACCACCGACAACAAAUAUCGCUACCAACCACUAUUGUCAACUGCUACCACACCUACUACUUCUAUUAUUCUAAUUAUAUUCACCGCCACUACCGCCAUCAACAGCACCACCAUCAUCCAUCACUAUCGACCAACUCAUCUAUCACGAC